AGCAAAGUUGAUUGUUCUCGAUAUAAAUGCCAUCUCACAUCGGAUUGCCAUAUUGUUGGUUGUGGAAUGUGUUUUCAUUUUGAUUCAGCUUCUAAUGUUGGAAGAUGUGGUGAUAGACUGGCUGUGUGACCAUGCAUGAGACUGGGACUAAAUAUUUCUUCAGUUCCAUUAUCAAAUUUCUUAGUUCUGGUCUCAUAUAGUGUUUAUUAAAUUAGUCACUUUACACUGUUUAUAUUAUAAAUCUAGUCUCAGGUCAUGUUCUUCUUAUAAAUUACUGAUUCUGGUCCCAUUUGAUCCCAUUUUGUUAAAAUGGGACCAAAUGGGACCAUGAUUUACCCUAUAU
rnacentral:sRNA from 1 species